CCUUUGACGUUAGCGGCGGACGGGUGAGUAACACGUGGGUAACCUACCUAUAAGACUGGGAUAACUUCGGGAAACCGGAGCUAAUACCGGAUAAUAUUUCGAACCGCAUGGUUCGAUAGUGAAAGAUGGUUUUGCUAUCACUUAUAGAUGGACCCGCGCCGUAUUAGCUAGUUGGUAAGGUAACGGCUUACCAAGGCGACGAUACGUAGCCGACCUGAGAGGGUGAUCGGCCACACUGGAACUGAGACACGGUCCAGACUCCUAAACGGAGGCAGCAGUG
rnacentral:rRNA from 1 species